AGGGCACCACCAGGAGUGGAGCCUGCGGCUUAAUUUGACUCAACACGGGAAAACUUACCUGGCCCGGACACUGGAAGGAUUGACAGAUUGAGAGCUCUUUCUUGAUUCAGUGGGUGGUGGUGCAUGGCCGUUCUUAGUUGGUGGAGCGAUUUGUCUGGUUAAUUCCGAUAACGAACGAGACUCUGGCCUACUAAAUAGACUGCUCAACUUCCCCUCUGGGUAACCCGGCAGGUUCUUCGAGGCUUGUACGGCUGUGACGACCUUACGAGAGCUACUUAUAGGGGGUGGGUGAUGCCCUUAGAUGCUCUGCGCAGCACGCGCGGUACUGUGAAGGGCUCAGAGUGUCUGUGCCCCUCGCAGAGCUACACUGAAAUGAUCAGCGUGCCUUCAUGAUUCCUACUGCGUCUUGAGUGUCUACCCCAUGAAAGAUUCUUCGUGAUUGGGAUAAGUCAUUGUAAUUGUGCUGAUUGAACCCUGAAUUUUGUACACACGGCCCGUCGCUACUAGCGAUGAUUACGA
rnacentral:rRNA from 1 species